rnacentral:misc_RNA from 1 species
GAUGAAGAACGUAGCGAAAUGCGAUACGUAAUGUGAAUUGCAGAAUUCAGUGAAUCAUCGAGUCUUUGAACGCACAUUGCGCCCCCUGGUAUUCCGGGGGGCAUGCCUGUCCGAGCGUCAUUGCUGCCCUCAAGCACGGCUUGUGUGUUGGGCCUCCGUCCUCCUCCUGGGGGACGGGCCCGAAAGGCAGCGGCGGCACCGCGUCCGGUCCUCGAGCGUAUGGGGCUUCGUCACCCGCUCUUGUAGGCCCGGCCGGCGCUUGCCGACACAUCAAUCUUUUUUCCAGGUUGACCUCGGAUCAGGUAGGGAUACCCGCUGAACUUAAGCAUAUCAAUAAGCGGAGGA